rnacentral:rRNA from 1 species
CCUAACACAUGCAAGUCGAACGAACUCUUCGGAGUUAGUGGCGCACGGGUGCGCAACGCGUGGGAAUCUGCCCUUAGGUACGGAAUAACUCAGGGAAACUUGUGCUAAUACCGUAUGAUGUCGAGAGACCAAAGAUUUAUCGCCUAGGGAUGAGCCCGCGUUGGAUUAGCUAGUUGGUGGGGUAAAAGCCUACCAAGGCUACGAUCCAUAGCUGGUCUGAGAGGAUGAUCAGCCACACUGGGACUGAGUCACGGCCCAGACUCC